rnacentral:lncRNA from 1 species
CUCCUGCAAACCGUGCCUUCAGCCGUUAUGGACAAAGGAAAGGCGAUUGCUGAUGCAUACAGGACGCCUACAGAUAAUUAUUAUGAAGAGGGUAAUGGCGCAGAGUUGGAUCCCAGUCUGAAACAGCUACAGGACAUUCUUUAGUGCUGAAUCUUGUUCAGGUUAACACAUCUUGUGUUGUUAAGGUCCUUCAGUAUGAUUGUAUUGCAAAGUACUCCCUCUGUAAACAACUAUAAGAGUGUUUAGAUCACUAUUUUAAUGAUCUAAACGCUCUUAUAUUUCUUUUUGGAGGAAGUAGAACCAAGUUCGCGGCAGAAUACGUACCUGCGACCGUACUUCUAGAAUAUAGUACUAUUACUUUUCAUUGUACUCCCUCCGUUUCUAAAUAUANG